rnacentral:rRNA from 1 species
ACGGAGGGUGCAAGCGUUAUCCGGAAUCACUGGGUUUAAAGGGUGCGUAGGUGGUUGAAUAAGUCAGAGGUAAAAGAUUGUCGCUUAACGAUAAAAUGUCCUUUGAUACUGUUCGACUAGAAUGAGGUUAAGGUAGGCGGAAUGUGACAUGUAGCGGUGAAAUGCAUAGAUAUGUCAUAGAACACCAAUUGCGAAGGCAGCUUACUAGGCCUAUAUUGACACUGAGGCACGAAAGCGUGGGGAGCAAACAGG